GCCUACGGGACGCAGCAGUGGGGAAUAUUGCACAAUGGGGGAAACCCUGAUGCAGCGACGCCGCGUGAGUGAAGAAGUAUUUCGGUAUGUAAAGCUCUAUCAGCAGGGAAGAAAAUGACGGUACCUGACUAAGAAGCCCCGGCUAACUACGUGCCAGCAGCCGCGGUAAUACGUAGGGGGCAAGCGUUAUCCGGAUUUACUGGGUGUAAAGGGAGCGUAGACGGCGCGGCAAGUCUGAAGUGAAAGGCAGGGGCUUAACCCCUGAACUGCUUUGGAAACUGCCAUGCU
rnacentral:rRNA from 1 species